UACGUAGGGGGCAAGCGUUAUCCGGAUUUACUGGGUGUAAAGGGAGCGUAGACGGCGAUGCAAGCCUGGAGUGAAAGGCGGGGGCUCAACCCCCGGACUGCUUUGGGAACUGCAUGGCUGGAGUGUCGGAGAGGCAGGCGGAAUUCCUAGUGUAGCGGUGAAAUGCGUAGAUAUUAGGAGGAACACCGGUGGCGAAGGCGGCCUGCUGGACUGCAACUGACGUUGAGGCCCGAAAGCGUGGGGAGCAAACAGG
rnacentral:rRNA from 1 species